UCGAACGGUAACAGGAAGCAGCUUGCUGCUUUGCUGACGAGUGGCGGACGGGUGAGUAAUGUCUGGGAAACUGCCUGAUGGAGGGGGAUAACUACUGGAAACGGUGGCUAAUACCGCAUAACGUCGCAAGACCAAAGAGGGGGACCUUCGGGCCUCUUGCCAUCAGAUGUGCCCAGAUGGGAUUAGCUWGUUGGUGAGGUAACGGCUCACCAAGGCGACGAUCCCUAGCUGGUCUGAGAGGAUGACCAGCCACACUGGAACUGAGACACGGUCCAGACUCCUACGGGAGGCAGCAGUGGGGAAUAUUGCACAAUGGGCGCAAGCCUGAUGCAGCCAUGCCGCGUGUAUGAAGAAGGCCUUCGGGUUGUAAAGUACUUUCAGCGGGGAGGAAGGUGUUGUGGUUAA
rnacentral:rRNA from 1 species